rnacentral:rRNA from 1 species
CACCGCCGCGGUAAUACGUAGGGUGCGAGCGUUAAUCGGAAUUACUGGGCGUAAAGCGUGCGCAGGCGGUUCGUUAAGACAGAUGUGAAAUCCCCGGGCUUAACCUGGGAACUGCAUUUGUGACUGGCGAGCUAGAGUAUGGCAGAGGGGGGUAGAAUUCCACGUGUAGCAGUGAAAUGCGUAGAGAUGUGGAGGAAUACCGAUGGCGAAGGCAGCCCCCUGGGCCAAUACUGACGCUCAUGCACGAAAGCGUGGGGAGCAAACAGGAUUAGAUACCCCAGUAGUCCCUGUCUCUUAUACC